UACGUAGGGUGCAAGCGUUAUCCGGAAUCAUUGGGUUUAAAGGGUCCGCAGGCGGACUUAUAAGUCAGUGGUGAAAGCCUAUUGCUCAACAAUAGAACUGCCAUUGAUACUGUAGGUCUUGAAUUCGGUCGAAGUGGGCGGAAUAUGACAUGUAGCGGUGAAAUGCUUAGAUAUGUCAUAGAACACCGAUAGCGAAGGCAGCUCACUAGGCCUGGAUUGACGCUCAGGGACGAAAGCGUGGGGAGCAAAC
rnacentral:rRNA from 1 species